UUAAGCGACUAAGCGUACACGGUGGAUGCCCUGGCAGUCAGAGGCGAUGAAGGACGUGCUAAUCUGCGAAAAGCGUCGGUAAGGUGAUAUGAACCGUUAUAACCGGCGAUGUCCGAAUGGGGAAACCCAGUGCAAUUCGUUGCACUAUCGUUAACUGAAUACAUAGGUUAACGAGGCGAACCGGGGGAACUGAAACAUCUAAGUACCCCGAGGAAAAGAAAUCAACCGAGAUUCCCCCAGUAGCGGCGAGCGAACGGGGAGCAGCCCAGAGUCUGAAUCAGCUUGUGUGUUAGUGGAACGGUCUGGAAAGUCCGACGGUACAGGGUGAUAGUCCCGUACACCAAAAUGCACAGGCUGUGAACUCGAAGAGUAGGGCGGGACACGUGGUAUCCUGUCUGAAUAUGGGGGGACCAUCCUCCAAGGCUAAAUACUCCUGACUGACCGAUAGUGAACCAGUACCGUGAGGGAAAGGCGAAAAGAACCCCGGCGAGGGGAGUGAAAAAGAACCUGAAACCGUGUACGUACAAGCAGUGGGAGCACCUUCGGGUGUGACUGCGUACCUUUUGUAUAAUGGGUCAGCGACUUAUAUUCUGUAGCAAGGUUAACCGUAUAGGGGAGCCGCAGGGAAACCGAGUCUUAACUGGGCGUUAAGUUGCAGGGUAUAGACCCGAAACCCGGUGAUCUAGCCAUGGGCAGGUUGAAGGUUGGGUAACACUAACUGGAGGACCGAACCGACUAAUGUUGAAAAAUUAGCGGAUGACUUGUGGCUGGGGGUGAAAGGCCAAUCAAACCGGGAGAUAGCUGGUUCUCCCCGAAAGCUAUUUAGGUAGCGCCUCGUGAACUCAUCUUCGGGGGUAGAGCACUGUUUCGGCUAGGGGGUCAUCCCGACUUACCAACCCGAUGCAAACUACGAAUACCGAAGAAUGUUAUCACGGGAGACACACGGCGGGUGCUAACGUCCGUCGUGAAGAGGGAAACAACCCAGACCGCCAGCUAAGGUCCCAAAGUCAUGGUUAAGUGGGAAACGAUGUGGGAAGGCACAGACAGCCAGGAUGUUGGCUUAGAAGCAGCCAUCAUUUAAAGAAAGCGUAAUAGCUCACUGGUCGAGUCGGCCUGCGCGGAAGAUGUAACGGGGCUAAACCAUGCACCGAAGCUGCGGCAGCGACACUAUGUGUUGUUGGGUAGGGGAGCGUUCUGUAAGCCUGCGAAGGUGACCUGUGAGGGUUGCUGGAGGUAUCAGAAGUGCGAAUGCUGACAUAAGUAACGAUAAAGCGGGUGAAAAGCCCGCUCGCCGGAAGACCAAGGGUUCCUGUCCAACGUUAAUCGGGGCAGGGUGAGUCGACCCCUAAGGCGAGGCCGAAAGGCGUAGUCGAUGGGAAACAGGUUAAUAUUCCUGUACUUGGUGUUACUGCGAAGGGGGGACGGAGAAGGCUAUGUUAGCCGGGCGACGGUUGUCCCGGUUUAAGCAUGUAGGCUGAUUAUCCAGGCAAAUCCGGAUAAUCAAGGCUGAGGUGUGAUGACGAGGCACUACGGUGCUGAAGUAACAAAUGCCCUGCUUCCAGGAAAAGCCUCUAAGCAUCAGGUAACAUCAAAUCGUACCCCAAACCGACACAGGUGGUCAGGUAGAGAAUACCAAGGCGCUUGAGAGAACUCGGGUGAAGGAACUAGGCAAAAUGGUGCCGUAACUUCGGGAGAAGGCACGCUGGUGUGUAGGUGAAGCCCCUGCGGGUGGAGCUGAGACCAGUCGAAGAUACCAGCUGGCUGCAACUGUUUAUUAAAAACACAGCACUGUGCAAACACGAAAGUGGACGUAUACGGUGUGACGCCUGCCCGGUGCCGGAAGGUUAAUUGAUGGGGUUAUCCGUAAGGAGAAGCUCUUGAUCGAAGCCCCGGUAAACGGCGGCCGUAACUAUAACGGUCCUAAGGUAGCGAAAUUCCUUGUCGGGUAAGUUCCGACCUGCACGAAUGGCGUAAUGAUGGCCAGGCUGUCUCCACCCGAGACUCAGUGAAAUUGAACUCGCUGUGAAGAUGCAGUGUACCCGCGGCAAGACGGAAAGACCCCGUGAACCUUUACUAUAGCUUGACACUGAACAUUGAGCCUUGAUGUGUAGGAUAGGUGGGAGGCUUUGAAGCGUGGACGCCAGUCUGCGUGGAGCCAACCUUGAAAUACCACCCUUUAAUGUUUGAUGUUCUAACGUUGGCCCCUUAUCGGGGUUGCGGACAGUGUCUGGUGGGUAGUUUGACUGGGGCGGUCUCCUCCCAAAGCGUAACGGAGGAGCACGAAGGUUAGCUAAUCCUGGUCGGACAUCAGGAGGUUAGUGCAAUGGCAUAAGCUAGCUUGACUGCGAGCGUGACGGCGCGAGCAGGUGCGAAAGCAGGUCAUAGUGAUCCGGUGGUUCUGAAUGGAAGGGCCAUCGCUCAACGGAUAAAAGGUACUCCGGGGAUAACAGGCUGAUACCGCCCAAGAGUUCAUAUCGACGGCGGUGUUUGGCACCUCGAUGUCGGCUCAUCACAUCCUGGGGCUGAAGUAGGUCCCAAGGGUAUGGCUGUUCGCCAUUUAAAGUGGUACGCGAGCUGGGUUUAGAACGUCGUGAGACAGUUCGGUCCCUAUCUGCCGUGGGCGCUGGAGAAUUGAGGGGGGCUGCUCCUAGUACGAGAGGACCGGAGUGGACGCAUCACUGGUGUUCGGGUUGUCAUGCCAAUGGCACUGCCCGGUAGCUAAAUGCGGAAGAGAUAAGUGCUGAAAGCAUCUAAGCACGAAACUUGCCCCGAGAUGAGUUCUCCCUGAGACUUUAAGUCUCCUGAAGGAACGUUGAAGACGACGACGUUGAUAGGCCGGGUGUGUAAGCGCAGCGAUGCGUUGAGCUAACCGGUACUAAUGAACCGUGAGGCUUAACCU
rnacentral:rRNA from 1 species